UACAGAGGGGGCAAGCGUUGUUCGGAAUUACUGGGCGUAAAGGGCGCGUAGGCGGCCUUCUAAGUCGAACGUGAAAUCCCCGGGCUCAACCCGGGAACUGCGUCCGAGACUGAAAGGCCUGAAUCCGGGAGAGGGAUGUGGAAUUCCAGGUGUAGCGGUGAAAUGCGUAGAUAUCUGGAGGAACAUCGGUGGCGAAGGCGGCAUCCUGGACCGGUAUUGACGCUGAGGCGCGAAAGCCAGGGGAGCAAACGGG
rnacentral:rRNA from 1 species